rnacentral:tRNA from 1 species
UGUAGCUUAGUGGUAGAGCACUUGCCUUGUAUGCAUGAAGCCCUGGGUUUGAUUUCUCAGUA